AUGCACGCUGGCGGCGUGCCUAAUACAUGCAAGUCGAGCGAACGGACGAGAAGCUUGCUUCUCUGAUGUUAGCGGCGGACGGGUGAGUAACACGUGGAUAACCUACCUAUAAGACUGGGAUAACUUCGGGAAACCGGAGCUAAUACCGGAUAAUAUUUUGAACCGCAUGGUUCAAAAGUGAAAGACGGUCUUGCUGUCACUUAUAGAUGGAUCCGCGCUGCAUUAGCUAGUUGGUAAGGUAACGGCUUACCAAGGCAACGAUGCAUAGCCGACCUGAGAGGGUGAUCGGCCACACUGGAACUGAGACACGGUCCAGACUCCUACGGGAGGCAGCAGUAGGGAAUCUUCCGCAAUGGGCGAAAGCCUGACGGAGCAACGCCGCGUGAGUGAUGAAGGUCCUCGGAUCGUAAAACUCUGUUAUUAGGGAAGAACAUAUGUGUAAGUAACUGUGCACAUCUUGACGGUACCUAAUCAGAAAGCCACGGCUAACUACGUG
rnacentral:rRNA from 1 species